rnacentral:rRNA from 1 species
UACGGAGGAUGCAAGCGUUAUCCGGAAUGAUUGGGCGUAAAGCGUCCGCAGGUGGCUAUGUAAGUCUGCUGUUAAAGAGUGAGGCUCAACCUCAUAAGAGCAGUGGAAACUACAUAGCUAGAGUGCGUUCGGGGCAGAGGGAAUUCCUGGUGUAGCGGUGAAAUGCGUAGAUAUCAGGAAGAACACCGGUGGCGAAAGCGCUCUGCUAGCCGCAACUGACACUGAGGGACGAAAGCUAGGGGAGCGAAUGGG